rnacentral:rRNA from 1 species
AUUGAACGCUGGCGGCAUGCUUUACAUAUGCAAGUCGAACGGUAACAGGUUAAGCUGACGAGUGGCGAACGGGUGAGUAAUGCAUCGGAACGUGCCCGAUCGUGGGGGAUAACGCAGCGAAAGCUGCGCUAAUACCGCAUACGAUCUGAGGAUGAAAGCGGGGGACCGUAAGGCCUCGCGCGAUCGGAGCGGCCGAUGUCAGAUUAGGUAGGUGGGGGGGUAAAGGGUCACCAAGCCAACGAGCUGUAGCUGGUCUGAGAGGACGACCAGCCACACUGGGACUGAGACACGGCCCAGACUCCUGCGGGAGGCAGCAGUGGGGAAUUUUGGACAAUGGGCGAAAGCCUGAUCCAGCAAUGCCGCGUGCAGGAAGAAGGCCUUCGGGUUGUAAACUGCUUUUGUACGGAGCGAAAAGGUCUCCUCUAAUACAGGGGGCUCAUGACGGUACCGUAAGAAUAAGCACCGGCUAACUACGUGCCAGCCGCCGCAGUAACAC